CGAACGGGUGAGUAACGCGUGAGCAACCUGCCUAUGACAGUGGGAUAGCCUCGGGAAACCGGGAUUAAUACCGCAUAAAAUCGUAGAAACACAUGUUUUAACGGUCAAAGAUUUAUCGGUCAUAGAUGGGCUCGCGUCUGAUUAGCUAGUUGGUGAGAUAACAGCCCACCAAGGCGACGAUCAGUAGCCGGUCUGAGAGGAUGGACGGCCACAUUGGAACUGAGACACGGUCCAA
rnacentral:rRNA from 1 species